rnacentral:rRNA from 1 species
AACGAACGCUGGCGGCAGGCCUAACACAUGCAAGUCGAACGGGUGUAGCAAUACAUCAGUGGCAGACGGGUGAGUAACGCGCGGGAAUCUCCCCAGAGGUACGGAACAACUCAGGGAAACUUGAGCUAAUACCGUAUGUGCCCGAGAGGGCAAAGAUUCAUCGCCUUUGGAUGAGCCCGCGUUGGAUUAGCUAGUUGGUGGGGUAACGGCCUACCAAGGCUACGAUCCANAGCUGAUCUGAGAGGAUGAUCAGCCACACUGGGACUGAGACACGGCCCAGACUCCUACGGGAGGCAGCAGUGGGGAAUCUUGGACAAUGGGCGCAAGCCUGAUCCAGCCAUGCCGCGUGAGUGAAGAAGG